CUCCUCUUAACUCAUGGGAAGGCCCUAGGCCUCAUUUAUUCUUCUAAAUCAGUUCUCAACAACAGGGUGCACUGCCCUCUAGGGGAUGUUUUGGGUAUCUGUGGGGGGAUUUUUUUUAGUUGUCACUGUGUGUGUGUGUGUGUGUGUGUGUGUGUGUGUGUGUGUGUGUGUGUGUUGGGGUGGGGGGUGAGGUGGUGAUGGUGGUGGUGAAGGAUCCUGGUAUUUAGGAGCCAAGGAUCCUAGACAAUACUGCAAUGACCAGGACAGUGCUGCACAAAAAAGAAUUGUCCCACAUCUCACAUGACUUUUAAAAGCCCCAUUGGAGGCCAGGCGCCAUGGCUCACACCUGUAAUCCCAGCACUUUGGUAGGCCGAGGCGGGCGGAUCACCUGAGGUCAGGAGGUCGAGACCAGCCUGGCCAGCAUAGUGAAACCCCAUUUCUA
rnacentral:lncRNA from 1 species